rfam:Streptomyces venezuelae ATCC 10712 complete genome
CGAAUCCGCGCGGGAGAGUUCCGGACCGCACGUCGUGUCCGGACGCCGAAGGAGCAAGACCCUCCCUUGAAUCUCUCAGGCCCCGUACCGCGUGGAUGAG